AGCCUGAACGCUGGCGGCGUGGCUAAGACAUGCAAGUCGUACGAUCCCGAGCAAUCGGGAUAGUGGCGGACGGGUGAGUAAUGUAUCGCUAACGUACCCCGGAUUCUGGGAUAGCUAUCCGAAAGGGUAGGUAAUACCGGAUGAUAUAUUCCGAUCGCAUGAUUGGAAUCUCAAAGGCGCAAGCCGCUCUGGGGAGCGGGGCGAGUACUCGGUAUCAGCUAGUUGGUGAGGUAACGGCUCACCAAGGCGACGACGCGUAGCCGGACUGAGAGGUGCCGGCACAUUGGGACUGAGACACUGCCCAGACUCCGUACGGGGGGCUGCAGUAACGAUCUUCGCAAUGCACGCAAGUGUGACGGAGCGACGCCGCGUGUAGGACGAAGCCCGUUCGGGUAGUAAACUCUGUCGAGGGUUUAGAAAGUUCUAGAUCCAACCCAGAACGAAGGCACGGCUAAC
rnacentral:rRNA from 1 species